GCAAAGCGUUGACCACAAGAACCAGCAAGGCCAAAGUACAACAAAGCGCUGAAUGGCGGGCGCUGACUUCAGCGUGUCUGCCCCCUCUGAUCCACACAAGGUUGCACUGUGUGUGUUCGGCCUCCGAGAACGAAAGGGGCGGCCACGGCGCACAAUCACCACUAAGCACAUACUUUGCUGCCCCACAAUCCCCCACCAGGCCAGACACAAACCCAGGGGCUGUAUGUUUAUCAAAGCGCCUCAGGGUAAGACUGCUGAUUUAGGACCACUGCUCCAGUCGCUGAGCGUUUCUCAUCGCCAGUCACUCUCAGUGAAACAGAUUGGAAGAGUCGACUCUCUUAAAUACUGGGGGACGUCGGAUUAACAAGGGCGGACGGGACUGGUCUUUUACGGAUGAGCCAUGUUGGUUUUUUAUAAGAAGCUCCCCGUGACAGAAUCUGAUAAAGCACCGCCAGAGGAGCGUUUGGAAGAGAGCUGGAGAGAAAGAUUGAGAGAAACAAGGACAUAGAGAGACUAAGAGAACGCGGGAGUCAGGGAGCAAGUCCACACCACAAUCCAAAAACAAUAUUUUCAGUGAAACUUUACCCUCUCCAUCUGGCUCCUUUGAAGGGCGGAUUAUGACUGGUGCCUUGGCUAACUCUUUAUCCCACACUGUUCCUUCUAUGCUGCCAUGGAGACAGUGCUCUUAUAUCUGUGGGGCUUCCACCUACUGUAUACCGCCAGAACAACCACACACGCGUUCACACAAACUGCAAAGAAUUCCUCCAUGCUUCACCCAAUCGCUGCAAACCCAAGCAGCGUUUGACCACAAUGAACCAUUUUGGUAGUCAUAGUGAGUCAUCGAGCAACUCAGUCUCCUGCUGUUUACCACAAAACCUGUCAAGUGUUGAGUGUUGUUUUUACACUUUGGCUUUACAUGCAAUCAACUCAAAAACAAAAUAAGUUAUAUUUGCCAUCCAAUCAAAAAGA
ensembl:lncRNA